rnacentral:rRNA from 1 species
GGGAGGCAGCAGUGGGGAAUCUUGGACAAUGGGGGAAACCCUGAUCCAGCCAUGCCGCGUGAGCGAUGAAGGCCUUAGGGUUGUAAAGCUCUUUCACCGGUGAAGAUAAUGACGGUAGCCGGAGAAGAAGCCCCGGCUAACUCCGUGCCAGCAGCCGCGGUAAU